rnacentral:lncRNA from 10 species
UAUUUCUGCCUGUCACUUAUUAUCUGGUUGAGCUGGUGGCGGGAGUCCCGGCCCAUGUGUGUUACCAGAGGGAUGGUCUAGAGAAUGAAUCCAUCUGUCAGAGGCAUCCAAGAAGAAAGGCCUGGGCCAGGAUCACAUGGAAGACCCUGAAGACAGGAUCGGGUCUUGCCUGCCUGGAUUGAACAGAGACGCAGUGACCAGUCCCAUCUGCUCCCACCCUGCUGCCCUCUGAAUCGAGAGUUUGAGGCCAUGACCAGGGUAACGUUCAGCUGGUAGAGACAACACAACCCUGCUGGCUGUUUAAGCCAUGCUGGAGUGGUGCUCACAGGGUAACAAUUUUCAAGUGCUACGGAUGCAAUAGCUCAGCGACUGGCAGCGCAGCACGUACCUGCUGUCGUGGGAGGUGAGAGCCACCAGUGCCCGACAGCGGCUGCAAGGCAGUGGUGGCGCUCUGCAGCCAGCCGGCCCACCCCUCCAACAUCUGCAAGGGGGUGGGAGGCUGCCUCACCAAGCUACCUGCUACUCAUGGGGGCGAUGGGCAUCAGGGUGGCCUGCCUGGAGGUGAGUUGCAGUUGGGAGAUUAGGAGGAAGGUAUGUUGCAGUUGGGAGAUUAGGAGGAAAUACUCACUCGGGAUAUUAAACUAGGCUCUGAACCCGUCUCCAGCGGCAGAUAUCUCCAGUAACUGGGCUGGCAUGUCCGUGCCCUGCGCUGCUCUCUUCUCUCAGCUUCCCUUUGCAACCAAGGCUGAUUCCCACAGUCAGUCUCUCCCCCAGAGAACAUGAAGGAAGAUGCCUGAGGGACAACAUUAACUUGUCAGGAACAGGGGCCUGGGAGGAGUGUGGAUGUGGGCUCAGGUACGGGCAUGCACCUUGAGUGUGUGCAUGUGGGGGUCAGUGUGCAAGCCUGCCGUGGUGUGUGUGGGUCCGUGGGGGUCCCCAUGUUCCCGGGUCUAUGUGGGUGGGGUGGUAUGCACUGUGUGUGUUUAGGGUGCUUGUGCAUGUGUGAGUGUGUACAUAUCUGCAUUCAUUCCUGUGUGUGUCUGCGUCUGUGUCUGUGUGUGUGUGUCUGUGUCUGUGGGUGUGUGUGUGUGUGUGUGUGGGUGUGUGUGUGUGUGUGUACCAUCAGCCCUCCAUAUCCACAGGUUCUGUAUCCUUGGAUUCAACCAACCAUGGAAUAAAAGUACUAACAAAAAGGAUGGUUAUGUCUGCACUGAACAUCCUUGUCAUUACCCCCUAAACAAUACAGCGUGACAACGAUUUACAUAGCAUGUGGAUUGUAUUAGGAAUUACAAGUAAUCUAGAGAUGAUUUAAAGAAUGUGGGAGGAUGUGCAGACGUCACAUGCAAAUACUGCACCAUUUUAUAUCAGGGACUUGAGCAUCAGUGGAUUUUGGAAUCCAGAACAACUGUAUAUAAGUGCGCGUGUGCGUGU